rnacentral:rRNA from 1 species
UACGGGGGGGGCAAGCGUUGUUCGGAAUUACUGGGCGUAAAGGGCUCGUAGGCGGCCAACUAAGUCGGAUGUGAAAUCCCCAGGCUUAACCUGGGAACUGCAUCCGAUACUGGAUGGCUUGAAUCCGGGAGAGGGAUGCAGAAUUCCAGGUGUAGCGGUGAAAUGCGUAGAUAUCAGGAGGAACACCUGCGGUGUAGACGGCUUACUGGACCAUAACUGACGCUGAGGCACGAAAGCGUGGGUAGCAAACAGG